rnacentral:tRNA from 1 species
UGCGGAGUGGACUGGAGCCUGGAUUCCAGCACGGUCUCAUAAGCCGUUCGACGCCGGUUCAAAUCCGGCCUCCGCAA